rnacentral:rRNA from 1 species
ACAGGGAUUGCCCUAGUAACGGCGAGUGAAGCGGCAACAGCUCAAAUUUGAAAUCUGGCCCUCGGGCCCGAGUUGUAAUUUGUAGAAGAUGCUUUGGGCGCGGUGCCUUCCGAGUUCCUUGGAACAGGACGCCUUAAAGGGUGAGAGCCCCGUACGGUUGGACACCAAGCCCGUGUAAAGCUCCCUCGACGAGUCGAGUAGUUUGGGAAUGCUGCUCUAAAUGGGAGGUAAAUUUCUUCUAAAGCUAAAUACCGGCCAGAGACCGAUAGCGCACAAGUAGAGUGAUCGAAAGAUGAAAAGUACUUUGAAAAGAGGGUUAAAUAGCACGUGAAAUUGUUGAAAGGGAAGCGUUUGUGACCAGACCUGGGCCUGGCGGAUCAUCCGGUGUUCCUCACCGGUGCACUUCGCCCGGCCUAGGCCAGCAUCGAUUUCCGCCGGGGGACAAAGGCCGCGGGAACGUACCUCCCUUCGGGGAGUGUUAUAGCCCUAGGCGUAAUGCCCUGGCGGGGAUCGAGGUUCGCGCUCCGGCAAGGAUGCUGGCGUAAUGGUCAUCAACGACCCGUCUUGAAACACGGACCAAGGAGUCGAACAUUUGUGCGAGUGUUUGGGUGUUAAACCCUCACGCGUAAUGAAAGUGAACGGAGGUGAGAGCCCUCGGGCGCAUCAUCGACCGAUCCUGAUGUCUUCGGAUGGAUUUGAGUAAGAGCAUAACUGUUCGGACCCGAAAGAUGGUGAACUAUGCGUGGAUAGGGUGAAGCCAGAGGAAACUCUGGUGGAGGCUCGCAGCGGUUCUGACGUGCAAAUCGAUCGUCAAAUCUGCGCAU